rnacentral:rRNA from 1 species
AGCCUGAACGCUGGCGGCGUGGUUAAGACAUGCAAGUCGUACGGUGUAGCAAUACACAGUGGCGAACGGGUGAGUAAUGAAUCGCUAAUGUACCCCGGACUCUGGGAUAGCUAUCCGAAAGGAUAGGUAAUACCAGAUGACAUAUCCCUUCCGCAUGGUUGGGAUCUCAAAGGUCCGCCGGUCUGGGAGCAGGCGAUUUUGUAUCAGCUAGUUGGUGAGGUAACGGCUCACCAAGGCGAUGACGCAUAGCCGGACUGAGAGGUUGGCCGGCCACAUUGGGACUGAGACACUGCCCAGACUCCUACGGGGGGCUGCAGUAACGAAUCUUCCGCAAUGCACGAAAGUGUGACGGAGCGACGCCGCGUGUGGGACGAAGCCCUUCGGGGUGUAAACCACUGUCAGAGGAUAGAAAGUUCUGAUCAUCCUCAGAGGAAGGCACGGCUAACUCUGCGCCAGCAGCCGCGGU